GGGCAGAGCCUGCGCGAUGCGAACCUGCGAACCAGGUCAGGGCGGGAACGCAGCAGCCUUAAGCUUGCGUCGCGUGCGACGCAGUCAACUUUGCCUGUC
rnacentral:SRP_RNA from 1 species